rnacentral:rRNA from 1 species
AGAGUUUGAUCAUGGCUCAGAUUGAACGCUGGCGGCAGGCCUAACACAUGCAAGUCGAACGGUAACAGAAAGCAGCUUGCUGCUUUGCUGACGAGUGGCGGACGGGUGAGUAAUGUCUGGGAAACUGCCUGAUGGAGGGGGAUAACUACUGGAAACGGUGGCUAAUACCGCAUAACGUCGCAAGACCAAAGAGGGGGGACCUUCGGGCCUCUUGCCAUCAGAUGUGCCCAGAUGGGAUUAGCUUGUUGGUGAGGUAACGGCUCACCAAGGCGACGAUCCCUAGCUGGUCUGAGAGGAUGACCAGCCACACUGGAACUGAGACACGGUCCAGACUCCUACGGGAGGGCAGCAGUGGGGAAUAUUGCACAAUGGGCGCAAGCCUGAUGCAGCCAUGCCGCGUGUAUGAAGAAGGCCUUCGGGUUGUAAAGUACUUUCAGCGGGGAGGAAGGUGUUGUGGUUAAUAACCGCAGCAAUUGACGUUACCCGCAGAAGAAGCACCGGCUAACUCCGUGCCAGCAGCCGCGGUAAUACGGAGGGUGCAAGCGUUAAUCGGAAUUACUGGGCGUAAAGCGCACGCAGGCGGUCUGUCAAGUCGGAUGUGAAAUCCCGGGCUCAACCUGGGAACUGCAUUCGAAACUGGCAGGCUUGAGUCUUGUAGAGGGGGGUAGAAUUCCAGGUGUAGCGGUGAAAUGCGUAGAGAUCUGGAGGAAUACCGGUGGCGAAGGCGGCCCCCUGGACAAAGACUGACGCUCAGGUGCGAAAGCGUGGGGAGCAAACAGGAUUAGAUACCCUGGUAGUCCACGCCGUAAACGAUGUCUACUUGGAGGCUGUGCCCUUGAGGCGUGGCUUCCGGAGCUAACGCGUUAAGUAGACCGCCUGGGGAGUACGGCCGCAAGGUUAAAACUCAAAUGAAUUGACGGGGGCCCGCACAAGCGGUGGAGCAUGUGGUUUAAUUCGAUGCAACGCGAAGAACCUUUACCUGGUCUUGACAUCCACGGAAGUUUUCAGAGAUGAGAAUGUGCCUUCGGGAGCCGUGAGACAGGUGCUGCAUGGCUGUCGUCAGCUCGUGUUGUGAAAUGUUGGGUUAAGUCCCGCAACGAGCGCAACCCUUAUCCUUUGUUGCCAGCGGUUAGGCCGGGAACUCAAAGGAGACUGCCAGUGAUAAACUGGAGGAAGGUGGGGAUGACGUCAAGUCAUCAUGGCCCUUACGACCAGGGCUACACACGUGCUACAAUGGCGCAUACAAAGAGAAGCGACCUCGCGAGAGCAAGCGGACCUCAUAAAGUGCGUCGUAGUCCGGAUUGGAGUCUGCAACUCGACUCCAUGAAGUCGGAAUCGCUAGUAAUCGUGGAUCAGAAUGCCACGGUGAAUACGUUCCCGGGCCUUGUACACACCGCCCGUCACACCAUGGGAGUGGGUUGCAAAAGAAGUAGGUAGCUUAACCUUCGGGAGGGCGCUUACCACUUUGUGAUUCAUGACUGGGGUGAAGUCGUAACAAGGUAACCGUAGGGGAACCUGCGGUUGGAUCACCU